UUUUGCAGCUUACCAAAAACAUUAAUCGAUUUACCUCACGAGCAUUCGCACACUCGCAAAUCUACAAAAUACCGGUUUUCGACAUUUCGGCUUUUCGACUUUUGCCGAUCCAGACUAAGAAAGAGGGUAUUAGUUUCACACCUGUUUGCGACGAUAUGCUGACGAGAUCCACACACGAACCGCCUACAAUUGGAUUACUAACACGUUAAUCUAACUAUUCAAAUACAAACUAAGUAUUAACCCCUUACAAUAUUUGGCCAACCACACCUACAAAUCAUAGUAAGCUUAUAAGAAAUCAAUAAGCAACUCAUUAACAAAUUUUUGUCAAUGUUUACCACAUAAUCAUAAUUUCAUUGCAAGUUGUCUUCCUAAGCAACAGUCACUAAAUCAUUUAUAACUGGAGUUACGAAACUCCAAAUCAAGUGCCGUUAAUUUUCCCUGGAAAUAGACUCAUAUAUCUUCUAUCCAUAAAAUUUUCAGAAUUUUUGGUUUAGCCAAUCAAUACCAGAUUUUUCUCAAAGUUUCUCAUGUUUCACUGUUUGACUAAUCUGACCACUCUUCAUUACGACUCAAAUUUCUCAUUGUACAGAAUUCAAAAUAUGUUCUCGUUUAUUUCAUUUGAAACUAGACUCAUUAAGAUUUAAUUACAUAAUUUAUUCAGCUUCUAAUUCAUCUCCCACAAUUUAUGGUGAUUUUACAAAGUCACAUUACUGCUGCUGUCCCAAGCAGAUUUAUUACCAAAUCACUCUUUCACACAUACCUUGCAUGCAUGUUAUUUAAACAUGUAUAUCACCAAUCAAUCAUCACAUAUCUAUGAUUUUACUUAAGUAUAAUCUCCAUUUCAUCAUUUUAAAGAACAACAUGUUAGCUGAUUUUUCACUUUAACAUCUAAGGCACAUGCAUGCUCAUUUGUUUGGCUCAACUUCACCUAUCUUCCAUUUUUCAUCAAAAGAACAUGAAACAACAACCAUUUCCUUCAUUUUAAUUCAUGACUAAAUGCUCACAACACAACUAAAAAUCAAAAUAUACUUCAAGAGUUAAGGUAGAAUCAAGAAGAACUCAUGAACCUCAAAAUAGAAGCAAGGUACCAAGAACUUACCUUCAAUUUUCCUCCUCCUAAUGACCGAAUACUCAAGAGCUUUCUCCUCUCCUUUCUCUUCUCUAACUUUCAGCUAUGAUGAACAAAGAUAGACAAAACUUUGUUCUUUU
rnacentral:lncRNA from 1 species